rnacentral:rRNA from 1 species
GAUGAACGCUGGCGGCGUGCCUAAUACAUGCAAGUCGAGCGAACCGACGAGGAGCUUGCUCCUCUGAAGUUAGCGGCGGACGGGUGAGUAACACGUGGGUAACCUACAUAUCAGCCCGAGAUCACUUCGGGAAACCGGUGCUCAUACCGGAUAAUAUCUUAAACCGCCUGGCUCAAUAGUGAACGACGGAUUUGCUGUCACUUAUAGUAGGAUCCGAGCCGCCUUAGCUAGUUGGUAAGGUAACGGCUUACCAAGUCACCGAUGCGUAGCCGAACUGAGAGAGUGAUCGGCCGCUCGGGAGCGAGGACGAGGACCAAAACCGUAAGUGAGACAGCAGUAGGGAACCUACGGGAAGGAGCAGAAGCGUGAUGGAGCAACUGCGCGUGAGUGAUGAAGGUCUACGGAGCGUAAAACACGGCGAUUAGGGGAUAACAAAUUGGUAAGGAACGAGGUGCUUCUUGACGGUACCUGAUCAGAAAGCCACGGCUAACUACGUG